AGACUGGAUUUGGCCUAUGGGUCAUAGUUUGCCCACUCUUGAUCUAAUCUAUAAACCAUGAUUUAUGAGAUUGUCUACUCUGGCUGUGAAGAACAGACACUAUUACUGGCUCUGGAAACACCACCUGGAACACAGCUGUGACUUGAUAAACAAGUGAAACAUUCUUUGGUGUGGUGAGGGGAAAACAAAUUUCUCAAAGGACACGCACCAUGGUGUAUGAGAGGACACUGGAGCCCAGCCAGCAUCUGACAUGCUGAAUUCAAAGUGCAGGUGAAAGUAGGACAACUGAUUCACAAGCUGGGAUGCCUGUGUUGUUGUUUGCCAGUGUGCGUGUGUGUGUUUUCCUGGCACCCUUCAUUCAUUCCCCAGCACAGUUGACAUCAGGUUGGAAGCAGUGAGUUCUGAGGGAGACUGCUAGAGGACCCAACUUGGAGAAUCAACGAUCUGCGAUGAAGAUAAUGAAGAUAAAGACAAUGUCAAUGUCAGCGUCCAAAAUCAUAAGGACCCUUUAAGAAGCUUCCAGAGCAGAAGUGACUGUGCAAGAAGGGCCAAUAAAGUCUAGGCAAUGCACGACCAGGCGCGGUCGCUCACGCCUGUAAUCCCAGCACUUUGGGAGGCCGAGGUGGUUGGAUUACCUGAGGUUAGGAGUUUGAGACCAGCCUGACCAACAUAGUUUCACCCCAUCUCUACUAAAAAAAAAAAAAAAAACAAAACAAAAGUUAGCCAGGUGUGGUGCUGCACACCUGUAAUCCCAGCUACUCUGGAAGCUGAGGCAGGAGAAUCGCUUGAACCCAGGAGGCGGAGGUGGCAGUGAGCUGAGAUUGCACCGCUGCACUCCAGCCUGGGCGACAGAGUGAGACUCUGUCUCAAAAAUAAAUAAAUAAAUAAAUAAUAAAGUCUAGGCAAUGCAGCAGACUGCAGACAAAUGGGUCUCCAGACUCAUGAGCACUUGGCUUUUGUUACUCUCACCUCCACCACCCUUUACCUGGUUCUAUAUCUGUCCUUUGGACCUUCCUGCAUUUACCUUCCUGCUUUUGCUCCUUAGUCUGGUUUUGUCCCAGAAUUUACUCUCCUACUGCCCGCUCUCCUGUCCCUGAUGGUUCAUAGUUUCUUACUAUCAGGGAGAAACCCUGAUAUUGACUUGGCCCAGCAGUAAUUCUGUCCAUGCAAUUCUCUUGCAUGGGCUGUGACAGGCAGACACCUCACUAAUUAGAUCAGCACAGGGGUCUGCAUACAUUUAGUGUGGGGACCUCCAGCCCAUCCUGGAGCGCACAAAUUUAGUUCAGCACCAUUCAGCUGCUGAAAUUUGAUGCAGUGGCCCUGGAUGACCAAAGAAUGUGGUGAUAAUUCUAAACAGGGUGUGUUCAUUAAGUGAAGGAAAUGUAGAAUACGUUUUAGAUGAAAAAGAAAUUUUUAAGUUUGGAGGGUAAAGAUCAAUCAUCCGUAAAACUAACUGAUAUAUAACAGUUCAUUUUUGUUGAUACUAGAUAAAUAAGGAGUGAAGACAUUUUCAGAAUUACAAUGGCAUUUAUCUGCCUUCAUUAAAUUAAGCUCAGGAAACUAAUGCAGACUCCAAAUUGCCCACAGUCUAACACAGUCUCUGCAUCUGCGGUUAACAAAAUUAAAUUUGGGAAAAUCAAGAGUAAGACUUUUAAUGUUUCUACCACCUGUCAGCCUGGAAAGUUUUCUUAGUUUUUCUUUUUGGAGAGGCAUUUGAGAUUUGUGUUCCUGUCAACUUGAGAGAGGAAUGGAGGAAGUCAAAGGGAAGAAGAGGAGCUGAUGUUGCAGUCCGAGGGGAAACAGGAGUGAGGGCAGGGAGCCCAGAAGAGGGUCAGGGUGAAGAUGGGUGUGGGGAAGGCAGAGCAAACCAGCUGCUGCUGUCAACCCUGACCUAUUUCCUGGAGCUCUGGGAGCCCUCCCAUCCCUGCUCUCAGCAACAGUGAUGCUGCCUUUGGGCGGCUGUGCAGCCAACCCACACUGAGUGAUAGCUGUCCCUGUCAUUUUCUUAAAUGUCACCAGUGAAAGAGACAUUUCCACCUCCCUGGAGUACACAUACUCCACUUGUGGAUAAGUGGACACUUGGUUCCAUUUUCACAGCUUCCAAAAAUUGGUCACAGAUGACUAACAAUUGUGUCAACUUCUCUGGUAUGAGAAGCCAUAGAUGGAGGUAUACAGAAAUGAUUUCUUAAAAAAUGUAAUGUCCUUUCUAUGUGGCAGUAAAACAUCUUUCCUGCCACUAGGAGAAAUGUGUUCUUUGAAUUAUUUUCACAGCCAUAAAGGCAGACCUGUGAAAGGCUAUCUGUACUGGAUAGUUCUCUGCUUUCAUGGAUUUUAUUCAGAAUCAUCCAUUCUUGGAAAUGGUGGGGAAAGGGGAAAUAAAAAGAGAACAAAUAUAUGUUGGAUUAGUUAGUAUAAAUUAUAAUUCAUAAACUACAGUGUCCAAGCAAUAUUACCUUCCACAUAUUCUAGAAUAGCUUGGUUCCUAUUUUUGAGCCCCUGCCUGGUGCCAGUAACGUGUUUUCAGCUAAUUCAGGGUUUCUGUCCCCAUUUUCCUUGGAGGAAUAUCUAAGUUCUUUGGGGAUAUUGCUGGUGCCAAGCAUGAAGCUGUUGGAGAACGAGGAGGCUUUGGCAUCUUGUCCUCAGCAUCACGUAAAUCCUAUCAGAACUUAGAAGUGAAAUGGGAAGGAUUGUUUAUCUCCUGCCCAACUAGCUGCUGGGUUGUUCCUUACUCCCACUCACAAGGUCUCUUUGUGUCACUCUAGGUCAUUUUGCUCUCCUGAGACAGUCUGGGAACCACUUUGAGGCUGUUUGAGUCCAGAGCCAUGGCCUAGGCCUCUUGCAGUGUGGGGAUCCUGCUGUGUUCCCUCAGCCGAAUCAGGGGCACUGGGCAGUGCCUUCCCCUCUCCUGGCCUAUUCUCAGCCACGCCUAAGUGAUCUUAUUUCAUCUUGACACUAACCUUGGAUAUUUGAAAUAGAAUUAUUCAUUUACAAAGGAGGAAAAUGAGAUUCAGACAAGCUAAAUACAUGCCAAAGCCACAUAACUACAAGUGGCAGAGCUCAGUCUGCUUUCCAAACCCAUGCGGCUCCCUUCAUCACCGUGACUCACCCACUUUAUCCCCCAACUUCGAGGAAGUCUCUUCUGAUCACCCAAGAAUAAUGUCUGCCUCCUUAGAAAUUUUGUAGCCGUUG
ensembl:lncRNA LINC00578 long intergenic non-protein coding RNA 578